ensembl:rRNA 5S_rRNA 5S ribosomal RNA
GCUCAGAGCUUUGACACACUGAAGCUACUCACUGAAGGUUACUCACUGAAGCUAAGCAGGGCUGAGCCUGGUCAGUACCUGGAUGGGAGACCACAAGGGAACACUAGGUUGCUGUUGGAA